rnacentral:lncRNA from 1 species
AGCCCAUCAUUUAUGUAUUGAGGAGCGAGCCCUUAUUUUAUAAAAGGGACUCCCUCACCUUCAAACGCCACAAGCCAAGCCAACCAAGGCAACAUAAGCUACAAGCAAAGCGGCCUCACAACAUGUGCUACUUCUAGUUGAGCAUCAUUUCAGAUUGGGCACCGCCUCAUAUCGAGCAUCAGUUCUAGACGACAUUUAGUUACUUCGGCCCACACAUGGACUGAAUUUCAAGUCUCCAGCCAAAAGACUCUCUUG